UGAGUGCAAGAAGCAGAAUGACCAUAAGAUGCAAAAGAAGGCCAUAGAAAGCAGUCUUGUUCCUGUGCGAAUCUCUCCCUCUCUCUCUCUUUCUUUCUCCACAAAACACACAUUUGUUCAUAUAUACUUUCUUUAACUCGGUUUAUGUAAUUAGGUUUUUGAAAGAUUGCAAACAAAUGCUUCUUGUAGGGUUUCCUGUUGGUAUGAAUGAUAUCUAUUAUUUUACUUUGAAUUGUAUCUUCUGCAAGAUGGAUCUAUUGGUUUUCAAAAACAAUUUCUCGUUUCCUUUGUCUUGCUUGUGUUACAGUUAAAUGAAAUUUAUUGUGAUCAGCACUAUUAGUUCUUUUUUGUCAGUCUUUUUAAGAUUCAAAUUAUUUGGUAUUGUUCAAACUUUCACUUGAUACAAGUCAACGUUCUCCAUUUUGAUAAUAUUUUGUACUUGCUCCAGUUAUGAGCCAUUU
rnacentral:lncRNA from 1 species